UACAGUCAGUGAAAUCUGGCGACCCUGAAGACAUGUCAUUGCGCAUACAGGACAUGCUAAACUCUUGGGGGAUGUAGGACCAACGCAAAACAAACGCAGACAUAGUCGUUGGAAGAAGCGGUGCUGGGACGCUAGUGCCCACUGUCACAGCCUCAGCACCCCCUGAUGAGAUUCAAAACCUCACUAUAUAUUUGACUUUUUGUCCACUAAUGAUGCAUUCCAUAGGCGGAAAUCCCGACGCGAUGCCCCCAUCCUGGGGAAAACUAUGAUUUGUCCCCCCCAAUAUAUCACUGUUUCAAAAGAUUCGCCUCACAAUGGUUUGAUCCACUGCCCUCCAGCCUUGAGCAGCCGCACCUUGUUCAGGAGUUUGCUAAACUGUCUUGCGGAAGGGCACGGUGCUAAAAGGUUGAACUUCGGAAAGGAUGUCAGCAGGCCAACUUCUGGAAGAUUAUUCGCUCCACAGGAAACCGGUCACCUUAUCUUCCCAACCAGACAACGUCAACCAAAAUGACUGUAUAGUUAUAGAAGUAUUGGCAGCCAAUACUGUAUGUCUCUGAAUGGUGUGAAAAGCGCAUGGCGAUAAAUUGAUCAGGACAGUGGACACAACAAUAGACAAAGAAUGAGCUCUCCGCUUUCUUUGCAAUCUCUAUUAGCCACUCUGUGUAUUCUAGACUCGCUUUAAUCCUCUCUUCUCACAUCUUUUCACAUUUUUCUCUCUUCCUGGGAAAUGAGUCACCUUGCGUUACUUGCCUAGCUUACCCUCCUGCGUCAGACUGAGACUCACUGAAUUGUGUAUGCAGUAAGACCCUCUGUGUUAGUUUACGGGGGUGAAACACUCAACUGGAAAGAGCUUCAAAAAGCAACAUGUGUCUUAAGGAUUGUCUUUGUGGAAACAUGCUGUUCUACCAGCAUGCACGUCAAUGCUGGCUACGCUAUUGGAUUAGAGCCAUGGCCCUGUGAUAGCCCAGAUAGCGUGCAUUUUGAGUUGGCUAUAUAUUUGCAGUGCUGGCAGGCACCAGACACAUAAUUCCUGUGGGUCUUUUUAUAACCUCAAACCACAUUAUAAUAAUUUUACAGUAGGCCUAGGAUCUGAGUGACAAUGGCCACUGCUGUCGGGUCUAGCAUAUGGAUAUUUCACCCAAGAUCCAUUGAUUAUGUGCUGGCAGGGAAUAAUUAAUCUUUAACAAAUUCUCAAGUUCACUCAUAACACACAGAGCAAAGAAUGUAGAAAACAACUAGUUUUACUAGUUGAGAAGGAGUUCUAAAUACUUUUUUUUGCUCCGUGGGAACGAUGCCUUCUUUUCAUCAGGCCUUACCAUGAUUAUAUUUGUAUUGCUGUACGUUUCAUUCAAAAUUGCCCACCAUUAUGUAAACGUCACUAAAUUAAUCUUCAGUCAUCAAGCCUUCUUUCAAACUCUUUCUG